GGCUCGGUAGCGGACGGUCCACAUCUGCUUUCCAUCACAAGUGUGCGAGCAAAUAAUGCAGACAAAGCCUGUUCAAUUCAGGCCUGAGCCA